GGGCGGACAGAGACGCGGAGAGAAAAGAUAAUUGCCAGCGACGUCGACGAGGGGCAUCCCCCGCCGACCCAAGCUCCGGCGUCGCGGGACGGGCCGUCGUGGUAUUAGGUCGUUGGCGGGGUAACGGCCCACCAAGCCUGCGAUGCCUACCGGGCGUGCGAGCGUGGCCCGGCACACUGGGACUGAGACACUGCCCAGACUCCUACGGGAGGCUGCAGUCGAGAAUCUUCGGCAAUGGGCGCAAGCCUGACCGAGCGACGCCGCGUGGAGGAUGAAGGCCCUCGGGUUGUAAACUCCUGUCGAGGGGGAAGAAGGCGCGUGAGCGCUUGACUGAUCCCUGGAGGAAGCACGGGCUAAGUUCGUGCCAGCAGCCGCGGUAAGACGAACCGUGCGAACGUUAUUCGGAAUCACUGGGCUUAAAGCGCGUGUAGGCGGGACGGCACGUCGGUCGCUGAAAGCCCCCGGCUCAACCGGGGAACGGGCGCCGAUACGACCGGCCUGGAGGGACGUAGGGGGACCUGGAACUUCCGGUGGAGCGGUGAAAUGCGUUGAGAUCGGAAGGAACGCCCGUGGCGAAAGCGAGGUCCUGGACGUUUUCUGACGCUGAGACGCGAAAGCCAGGGGAGCGAACGGGAUUAGAUACCCCGGUAGUCCUGGCCGUAAACGAUGGGCACUGGGUAGGGGGCUCGCCGAUGGGCUCCCUGCCGUAGGGAAACCGUGAAGUGCCCCGCCUGGGGAGUAUGGUCGCAAGGCUGAAACUCAAAUGAAUUGACGGGG
rnacentral:rRNA from 1 species